rnacentral:lncRNA from 1 species
AUGCUCAAAAUUCUCCAAGCCAGGCUUCAGCAACACGUGAACUGUGAACUUCCUGAUGUUCAAGGUGGUUUUAGAAAAGGCAGAGGAACCAGAUAUCAAAUUGCCAACAUCCCCUGGAUCAUGAAAAAAGCAAGAGAGUUCCAGAAAAACAUCUAUUUCUGCUUUAUUGACUAUGCCAAAGCAUUUGACUGUGUGGAUCACAAUAAAGCAUGGAAAAUUCUGAAAGAGAUGGGAAUACCAAACCACCUGACCUGCCUCUUGAGAAAUCUGUAUGCAGGUCAGGAAGCAACAGUUAGAACUGGACAUGGAACAACAGACUGGUUCCAUAUAGGAAAAGGAAUACGUCAAGGCUGUAUAUUGUCACUCUGCUUAUUUAGCGUAUAUAUAGAGUACAUCAUGAGAAACGCUGGGCUGGAAGAAGCACAAGCUGGAAUCAAGACUGCCGGGAGAAAUAUCAAUAACCUCAGAUAUGCAGAUAACACCACUCUUAUAGCAGAAUAUGAAGAGGAGCUAAAAAGCCUCUUGAUGAAAGUGAAAGAGGAGAGUGAAAAAGUUGGCUUAAGGCUCAACAUUCAGAAAAUGAAGAUCAUGGCAUUUGGUCCCAUCACUUCAUGGGAAAUAGAUGGGGAAACAGUGUCAGACUUUUUUUUUUUGGGCUCCAAAAUCACUGCAGAUGGUGAUUGCAGCCAUGAAAUUAAAAGACGCUUACUCCUUGGAAGAAAAGUUAUGACCAACCUAGAGAGCAUAUUGAAAAGCAGAUACAUUACUUUGCCGACUAAGGUCCGUCUAGUCAAGGCUAUGGUUUUUCCAGUGGUCAUGUAUGGAUGUGAGUGUUGGACUGUGAAGAAAGCUGAGAGCCAAAGAAUUGAUGCUUUUGAACUGUGGUGUUGGAGAAGACUCUUGAGAGUCCCUUGGACUGCAAGGAGAUCCAACCAGUCCAUUCUAAAGAAGAUCAGCCCUGGGUGUUCUUUGGAAGAACUGAUGCUAAAGCUGAAACUUCAGUACUUUGGCCACCUCAUGCGAAGAGUUGACUCAUUGGAAAAGACUCUGAUGCUGGGAGGGAUUGUGGGCAGGAGGAGAAGGGGACGAUAG